GAGAUUUAGGAGAAGCCAGAAGUCUUCCUUUCAAAGGGAAAAUGCGGAAAAGAACCUGAAAGCGGGCUUCAAUAGUUCCAACCCGAUCACCGAAAUGCCAAAAUGAUGAACCCGGAAGUGAUAAACAGGAAGUAGGCCAGGAAGAACAAUAAUAAGGUUACACCCAAGUGUGUGUUUCGAAGGCGCGGAAUUUUCCGUACAGACCGAUUUAAGGCUGCAAGGAAGGAGUCCUGGGAGCAUGGCUUUCCCUGAGCCAAAGCCGCGGCCUCCGGAGCUGCCGCAGAAACGUUUGAAGACGCUGGACUGCGCGCAGGGGGCGGUGCGAGCCGUACGAUUUAAUGGUGAGCGCCUUUGUCUUCAUUCCGGGUCCUCCUUCCGCCGCCUGAGAUCAGCGGCCCACUAACCCCCGCCUGGUGUUCCCCAGUGGAUGGCAAUUACUGCCUGACGUGCGGCAGUGACAAGACCCUGAAACUGUGGAACCCGCUUCGGGGGACGCUGCUGCGGACGUACAGCGGCCACGGCUACGAGCUCCUUUGACAACAGCAAUCUCUGCUCCGGCGGCGGGGACAAGGCGGUGGUUCUGUGGGAUGUGGCAUCAGGGCAGGUCGUGCGCAAAUUCCGGGGCCACGCAGGGCUCCGUGGAUGGCCGUGUGAGACGCUAUGACCUGAGGAUGGGGCAGCUCUUCUCAGACUACGUGGGCAGCCCCAUCACCUGCACCUGCUUUAGCCGGGAUGGGCAGUGCACCCUGGUGUCCAGCCUGGACUCCACAUUGCGGCUCCUGGACAAAGACACAGGGGAGCUGCUGGGCGAGUACAAAGGCCAUAAGAACCAGGAAUACAAGCUGGACUGCUGCCUGAGUGAGCGUGACACACAUGUGGUCAGCUGCUCUGAGGACGGGAAGGUGUUCUUCUGGG
rnacentral:sRNA from 1 species